GCUUUUUAUAGUUAUGAGGAAAUUUAAGUCUUGGAGAUUGGCCAUUAAUAAAUUUGUGUGGUAUUAUUGGACUGUAUUAGCUAUAUAUGCUGAUAUAAAUUUUGAUAUAUUCUUUUUACUGGACGAACUGUUUAUAAAAUAUUAAGGGUGAUAUUGAAAUUUUUUUAACCACACACUUUUGUGACUGUAAUGAAAAAAUGAAUAAGCAGCCUAUAAACACAGGACCUUAUCUCGGGAAGUGCAUGUUGAUAUUAAAUCAACAUUAUGCAUUUUUCAAUUAUAAAACAAUUGUUUAAUAUUUUAUCAACAGAUGACGCCACUUUCCAAUCAGUGAUAAUUAGUAAUUGGCGGAAGCUAAUAAUAACCAUCCCUGAUAAUAACCCUGCCACAGACUACCCACCUCUGUGGAAAGGUCAGCCGAAUUGUGGAGGAUGGGGCCGGCCGGGCUCUGACACUAUAUUUUCAAGGGGUGAGAACCCCUUGAAAAUAUAGUGCUACAAUUCGGCCCGAAAAAUAGAUCCGAAUCCUGUAGAUGAAGAACCGAAAUAUUUCCACGUGACCAUUUCGGCCGAUUGUAUAAUAAUAAUAUUUUUUUUGUCUAUGAGGUAUUGUACACACAGGCUUUUGUCUCUGUGAGGUAUUUUUUGCAUAGCCUUUGUACACUGCUGUUUUGUCUGUGGACUUUCGCCAUUCGCGUUUUUCCUGGAAACGAUUAAAUUAAAAGUUUCGUGGCUUCAGAGUUUUUCCCGUGGGCAUAAUUUGGUUUGCAUGAACCUAAUUCAACUAUCACAAAUUAAGAAAAAUUAUUUCUAUGAAAGCUUUGAAUUUAUGUACGUACAGUGUAUCCUGAAUAUUUUC
rnacentral:lncRNA from 1 species